UACAGAGGUCCCAAGCGUUGUUCGGAUUCACUGGGCGUAAAGGGUGCGCAGGUGGGUUGGCAAGUUUGAUGUGAAAGCCCCGGGCUUAACCCGGGAAUGGCAUUGAAUACUGCUGAUCUGGAGGAUCGGAGGGGGGACUGGAAUUCUUGGUGUAGCAGUGAAAUGCGUAGAUAUCGGGAGGAACACCGGUGGCGAAGGCGGCCCCCUGGUUGGAUACUGACGCUGAGACGCGAAAGCGUGGGGAGCAAACAGG
rnacentral:rRNA from 1 species